GAUUUCUCAGCACACUUGCUUCCCAGCUCCUGCACUCAACAUGUGGUGCAAAGUGUAGGGGAAUAUCCGGGUCUGAGGCCCCACGGUGUACAUGAGGACUCCUCCUGCCUUGUAUUAAUAUUACUGACAGUGAGAUCUGUGGCAUUUUGAUUGCUUUGGAGUUGCAGUCCUGAAACGCCUUUCCCUCUGCUUGCCCAUAUGAGCCUCCUUUCAGCUUUUUGCCUUCACUUGAAAGAGAAGGCAAAAAAAAAAAAAAAAAGAAAAAAAAAAAAAGAAAAAUCUUUUGAUGUUUUUGAGAACAUUGCAAGAUAUUCUCAAGAAAACACCAUUCCAUUUGCUCAGGCUCUUGUUCAUACAGGCUUUCAUGACUUCCAGGAUUGACUAUUUUAAUUUGUUCCUGGUGGUGUUCCAGAUUGUUUGCUAAACUGGCUGCAGAUGGUUGUGAAUGUUGCUGCUGCCAGAAUUGUUACUAGGACUUGAUCUGCAGAUCAUAUUUCUCCAGUCUCACGUUCCCUCUACCCCAGUGCCUGUUAAGCAGCAUAUGGCUUUAAAAUUCCUUUACUGACUUAUAAAGCUUGCAGUGGCCCUGAUUCUUUUUACUUUCCUGACCUUGUAACUCUUUAGACUUUGGCUUGUGCUCACAGCUUGUCUGAUGUAAUGUCCACUGGCAGUUCAGAGCCAGCAUUCAGAAUCCAGCGUCGAGCAUGGCUUUGGGUUUUGCUCCUUGUCAUGCUUUUCUACAGCAAAGUGAAAGGAGUGGGAAUUUUCUGUUUGAGUUGCCUAAUAUUUAAAUGAUUAUCCCAAGCUUUACACUAAGCUUUUCUACAUAUAAGUACACAAAGUCACAGGUACUCAACAUACACAGUCAACAUACAGACUGUACGCUACUCCCUGAAAAUUAAAAAAUUCAAACAAAGAUGAUUUGAUCCCCAGCUGAUGUGUAAGAGAAGAGGUCUAAUAAAGCCUGGAGAGCCAAUUCCCAACUACCUUGUGCAAAGUGAUCAUUCCUUGUGUGUGCAUGACAUGAAAAAAUCAGGAACUGCUUUUUAUUUGUGUGCCCUUCAAACACGGAGCACUGAAAGCUCAGGAGUGUCACUCAUAGUUAAUUCUGAGUAAUUGCUUUCUAUCAGCCCUGUGCUGUCUGAACUGAAAAGCAAGUAUUUGAAAAUACGACCUUGCUUGGGUAUACUUAACCCCGCAGCAUUUGUUUCCCCCAUAGUCCUGCUGCUGGUUGCCAUCCCUGCUGGAUGCAGAACCAAAGGCCACAGCAGAGAAUUGAAUUCUCUCUGGAAAGGGGUGUACCUGUAGAACUUCUGUUGACAAUUGUGCUGAAUAAAUGCACUGCGGGUGAAAUUUUCUAUUUGUUGAAAUCUGUGGGAAUUCUGUGGGUAGCUUUGUAACAAUUGAUAAUUUAAAGAGUGAGGCUUAGAAGCAGCUUAGGUACCUAAAAUAGGAACAUGCAUGGAAAGCAUCCUUGUCAUCGAUGACUGAGGCCAAGAUUGUUCUGAGAUGUGACCGGGGGGGGGGGGGGGUCACUGUUUUAGGACCUUUGUCUCAUCCAGAAAUGAGCUGCUCUCCAAGCUGAAACACUUAUUUCUGUGAUGAUAUGUGAGCAUAUCUGUGAUCUGCGUAGCUCUGACUUUGCAGAAUUCUUUUUCUUCACAGUCUCCUCGGUACAAUUCUCUUGAAUUGAUGAGCUUCUAAAAAUUUUACACUUACUCCUUUUAUAAUAUCUUCCUAUAAACUCUCUCCUGUUCUAUUUUCUGGUCAGCCCUUCUCUGUGAAAGUCCUUCCCAGCCAUUUUGCUGCUUAUGGUUCUUCCUGAGUUACUGUCAUUAUGGAUAUAUCUAUACAUGUUUACAUAUAUUUAUAUUAUAAAACCAUGACACCUGUAGAAUUUUUUUUUUUUUUUUAAAGAAAUGAAACAUAAAAGAAAAAGAAAAAAAAAUGUCUGGGAAAAACAAGUGAAAGAAGAAAAAGGAAAAAAAAUCUGAAAACUUAUCUCCACUGCCCUUUUACUUGACUGUAUUCUGACUGUCUUGCUUUUGUAUUGUUCUGUCAAAGAAAUGGAGAAGAGAGGGAAGAAUGAAUGGACAUAUCAAUACUUCUUCAUAAAAAUCCUCCUCUCAAGAGAAUUGUCUAUAUUACAUAAAAAUAAGUCAAAGUUCAGAUUACUUUUUGGAGCAUGAAAUAUAUUAACUUUAUUCCUGUACGGUAAAUUUGCCAAGAGAAAAUUGUAGUACUUUAUAAAAAGUUAGAAUGCCCUAGCAGAGUUUAUGAAGUAUAUGGAAAGGAACAUAAGAUACGGGACAAGGAAAUUCAUUACAGUUCAUGACAAUUUACUGCUGCGAUGGUGAGGCCAAGUGACUUAUAUGGUCCCCAAGGAUACAGGCAGGUCAGCUUGGAGAAAUUCAGAAUCACUUUUCUUCAGAGUGUACACAGGUAUAAGUAAUGCUGAGGAAGCAGGUUCAAAGGAGAAGGCUUCCCGCAGAGAACAAAUUAUUCACUGAACAUCAGAACUACUGGAGUCUGAGUUUCUACUAAGCUAUGUUUUGAGGUUUACCUUGGUGUCUGAGAAGAUGUUAUUUUGAUGGAUAUUUAAGACUAAUGCCACAAUCUAAGGGAUAAACAUCACAUCAAGCAGAUGAGAACAAGAAAAUUCAGUGGCAACCCCAGCUGUGCUCUCUUGGCUCAGGUCUGAACAUGGUGAUCAUAGGCUGGCAGAGCUUUUGUAGAAAAUAAGUACAGGUUGCUGAAAGCCAGGAUACCAGAGAUGCCAAGUUCUCUGGAAGGUAGGGUUGGUUGACUGGAGCCAUGAGACGACACACUACAGAUGAAAAAUUGCUGAAUAUUCAGGACUUUGUAAUUUCCAUUGGGCAUCCAAAGGAGAGCGCUUGAACUUGUUCAAGAUUUAGUUUCUAAGAGGUUAAAUGGUUGGGGCCACAGGAAAGCCAUGUAACUAAAUUCAGUCAUGUCUGUGGAGGAACCAGAAAGAAGAGAUACGUGAGAAUUAAAACUGUAUUCA
ensembl:lncRNA